UGAUCUUCGAUAUUUUCAUAUUAUUCUUUAUGGGGUAAAGGUGAAGAACAAAGAUCUGAAGAGAAAUAUACUGCGAUUUUCUGGAUUUUUAUGGGGUCCUCAAGAGGAGGAAAGAAAGGAGAAGAAGUUGCAG